AACGAACGCUGGCGGCAUGCCUAACACAUGCAAGUCGAACGAGACCUUCGUGUCUAGUGGCGCACGGGUGCGUAACGCGUGGGAACCUGCCCUUAGGUUCGGAAUAACUCCCCGAAAGGGGUGCUAAUACCGGAUAAUGUCUUCGGACCAAAGAUUUAUCGCCUUUGGAUGGGCCCGCGUUGGAUUAGCUAGUUGGUAGGGUAAAAGCCUACCAAGGCGACAAUCCAUAGCUGGUCUGAGAGGAUGAUCAGCCACACUGGGACUGAGACACGGCCCAGACUCCUACGGGAGGCAGCAGUGGGGAAUAUUGGACAAUGGGCGAAAGCCUGAUCCAGCAAUGCCGCGUGAGUGAUGAAGGCCUUAGGGUUGUAAAGCUCUUUUACCCGGGAUGAUAAUGACAGUACCGGGAGAAUAAGCUCCGGCUAACUCCGUG
rnacentral:rRNA from 1 species